GAUGAACGCUAGCUACAGGCUUAACACAUGCAAGUCGCAGGGUAACAUGAGGAAAGCUUGCUUUCCUUGAUGCCGACUGGCGCACGGGUGAGUAACGCGUAUCCAACCUUCCCAUAACUACGGGAUAACCCGUUGAAAGACGGCCUAAUACCGUAUGAUAUCGUUUGCUGACAUCAAAUAACGAUUAAAGGUUUAGCGGUUAUGGAUGGGGAUGCGUCUGAUUAGCUUGUUGGCGGGGUAACGGCCCACCAAGGCGACGAUCAGUAGGGGUUCUGAGAGGAAGGUCCCCCACAUUGGAACUGAGCCACGGUCCAAGCUCAUACGGGAGGCAGCAGUGAGGAAUAUUGGUCAAUGGGCGAGAGCCUGAACCAGCCAAGUAGCGUGCAGGACGACGGCCCUAUGGGUUGUAAACUGCUUUUAUGUGGGGAUAAAGUGCGUGACGUGUCAUGCAUUGCAGGUACCACAUGAAUAAGGACCGGCUAAUUCCGUG
rnacentral:rRNA from 1 species